rnacentral:rRNA from 1 species
AGUGAACGCUGGCGGCGUGCUUAAUACAUGCAAGUCGAACGAUGAAGUCCUAGCUUGCUAGGAUGGAUUAGUGGCGCACGGGUGAGUAAUAUAUAGUUAAUCUGCCUUGCACUGAGGAACAACAGUUGGAAACGAUUGCUAAUACCUCAUACUCCAACUUUACAUAAGUUAAGUUGGGAAAGUCUUUUCGGUGCAAGAUGAGACUAUAUCGUAUCAGCUAGUUGGUAAGGUAAUGGCUUACCAAGGCUAUGACGCGUAACUGGUCUGAGAGGAUGAUCAGUCACAUUGGAACUGAGACACGGUCCAAACUCCUACGGGAGGCAGCAGUAAGGAAUAGUGUGCAAUGGGGGAAACCCUGACGCAGCAACGCCGCGUGGAGGAUGACACUUUUCGGAGCGUAAACUCCUUUUGUUAGGGAAGAAUAAUGACGGUACCUAACGAAUAAGCACCGGCUAACUCCGUG